GGGCACGUAGCAUAAUGGAUCAGUGUAUCGGGGUACGAACCCGAAGAUGGGGGUUCAAGUCCCUCCGUGCCCU
rnacentral:tRNA from 1 species